rnacentral:rRNA from 1 species
GAGUUUGAUCCUGGCUCAGGAUGAACGCUGGCGGCGUGCCUAAUACAUGCAAGUCGAGCGAACUGAUUAGAAGCUUACUUCUAUGACGUUAGCGGCGGACGGGUGAGUAACACGUGGGCAACCUGCCUGUAAGACUGGGAUAACUUCGGGAAACCGAAGCUAAUACCGGAUAGGAUCUUCUCCUUCAUGGGAGAUGAUUGAAAGAUGGUUUCGGCUAUCACUUACAGAUGGGCCCGCGGUGCAUUAGCUAGUUGGUGAGGUAACGGCUCACCAAGGCAACGAUGCAUAGCCGACCUGAGAGGGUGAUCGGCCACACUGGGACUGAGACACGGCCCAGACUCCUACGGGAGGCAGCAGUAGGGAAUCUUCCGCAAUGGACGAAAGUCUGACGGAGCAACGCCGCGUGAGUGAUGAAGGCUUUCGGGUCGUAAAACUCUGUUGUUAGGGAAGAACAAGUACGAGAGUAACUGCUCGUACCUUGACGGUACCUAACCAGAAAGCCACGGCUAACUACGUGCC